rnacentral:lncRNA from 1 species
AUGGCUGAUAACAUGGAGCAUGGUUAUCAGCAGUCGCCAAGGGAUGUCUGGAGUGGACAAAUUCCAAAAGUUGUGCUGAGAAAACAAGAUUUUGAUGAUGUCCCAAGCCCAAGGCAAUUAGGGAAUUACAGUCCCAUGCAUCCUCAGUCAUUAGGGAGCCGAGAUCCAACAACAGACUAUAUUCCUAAUCAGCGACCUCAGUAUGAUAAAUUUGGCUCUCCAAGCAAUAAUGUGCCUUAUGCAGGUUAUGCAGAGAGGAGACAGUAUCGGCAAUACUAAGCGCCAGCGCUUCCUGUAUCUGAAAUGUCUUGGAAUGCUGCGUGAACAAUGGACUCCCCAAGUGCUGAGAGAUCAGUAAGACCUUGUAGGCUGGAACAUAGAGGAAAUAGCUGUAACUAUUAGAAAGUACUAAAUGUUAUUGCAAAGAAAAGCUGUAGAAGAUAAUUACAAAACAAAACAUGAUACUAGCAUCCAAUUUGUUUACUGUGUAAUUGAUGAGAACUUUCUGUGAAUACUUGAUUUCACAGUUUAGAUAGCUGCUUCUAAGUAUUGCUUAAAUUGUUGCCCAUCUGUCAGGACACAGGGCUCUUUUGUGAUUAGCCAUGUGUCCUGUGUCAAAAUGACAAGGAGUACCUAUCACAAAAAGCUG